rnacentral:rRNA from 1 species
CCUACGGGGUGCUGCAGUGGGGAAUAUUGCACAAUGGGGGAAACCCUGAUGCAGCGACGCCGCGUGAGUGAAGAAGUAUUUCGGUAUGUAAAGCUCUAUCAGCAGGGAAGAAAAUGACGGUACCUGAUUAAGAAGCCCCGGCUAACUACGUGCCAGCAGCCGCGGUAAUACGUAGGGGGCAAGCGUUAUCCGGAUUUACUGGGUGGAAAGGGAGCGUAGACGGCAGCACAAGUCUGGAGUGAAAUGCCGGGGCUUAACCCCGGAACUGCUUUGGAAACUGUGCAGCUAGCGUGCAGGAGAGGUAAGUGGAAUGCCUAGUGUAGCGGUGAAAUGCGUAGAUAUUAGGAGGAACACCAGUGGCGAAGGCGGCUUACUGGACUGUAACUGACGUUGAGGCUCGAAAGCGUGGGGAGCAAACAGGAUUAGAUACCCUAGUAGUC